rnacentral:rRNA from 1 species
GUGAACAAGGUUCGUGCUGCCGUGUGAAUACUUGGGGUUCGAUCGUUAUUCGGAAUUGUUGGGGGGAAAGCGCUCGUAUGGCGUGUGUCGCGUCUGUCGUGCAAGUCCGGGGCGUAACCCCGGAUCUGCGGGGGGGACGGGCAGACUAGAGUGCAGUAGGGGAGACUGGAAUUCCUGGUGUAGCGGUGGAAUGCGCAGAUAUCAGGAGGAACACCGAUGGCGAAGGCAGGUCUCUGGGCUGUAACUGACGCUGAGGAGCGAAAGCAUGGGGAGCGAACAGGAUUAGAUACCCGUGUAGUC